AGACAAUACUGCAUAACGUUAUGCAGUGUAAAAAUUUUGUCAACAAACCCACGUUGAGAACAACUGGUGACUGUCCAUCUUCUACAUACGUAAGAUGAAUGUCAAGAAACUGAUUAACAUUAACUGACAAGAGGAGACAGUGAGAGCUCAACAUCAUUCUUCAUCUCUGGUGAAGAGGAGAGUUGCUAAAUUUGGGUGCACAGCUAAAGUCAAGCAAAACAAAAAAAAGACAGAUGUUAUACAAAUGUGGUGUUGGCUUCCCAGUUCAGCACUUUUAAAGAGGGACAAACAUUGCAUGUUUGCAACUUCUAAAUGGAAGCAGGGCAUCUGAAAUAUGCUGGAAUCCUCAGCUUAAUGGCCUUAACGCCAUUUUCAAGAAUAUCCUGCUGAAAAAGACAGUUGUCAUUGGUAUAAUGGAUGCAAGACAACACUAGUGAAUUGAAAUUGUUGUUACCACAAAUGGCACACUCCAGGAUUACACGCUUUCCAAAAACACCAUUACGGCAUGCAGCCAUAAAGGGAUUCUUUGAAAGUCUAUGUUCUGUAAUGGUGGAAGUUCUCGUGAAGAUUCCAUUAGUAUUAAAAUAAAAACUUAAAAGUUAAAAGUGCAAAUGUCUUCAAUACUAGAGACCUGUGAUUUGACAGUACAACAUGGAGCAAUUGUAAAGGACACAUAAUUUGUACAUUAUUGAAUAUUAAUAUAUAGUUAUCCAUAAAUUACUGGGCUUUUACAUUGUAUUGUAAUUCUCAACAUUUGCAUAUAUGUUUGAUCUUUGUAAAAUAUGUUUGGUAUACAGUACAGUAAGUAAAUACAUUCUUUCUAAGUUUUAAACAUUUUUCAACAAAAUAUAUGAACUGCAAUCUGAGGAUCAAUUAGAGGUCUGCAAUUCUCCACAUAUAAAAUGACUUUGAAAUCAUCCUGUUACUGUUAAACUUGAGAAUAUAUUAAGAAAACAUCAAAAUCUCUUUAUUGAAUACAUUUUUUACAACACAUUGUCCAGAUAUUUUGUGUAUUAUUCUAUGAAGCUGAUUUCUCAAUGGCUAUUGCUUCUCAGGUAAACAAAGUGACACACAUACUACUUGAUUCUGUAAAAUAUUGUAAUCAAGUGAUGUACAAAUGUAACUUCUGAAUUUUUGUAAAACAUUAUUUUAAAGAAUAAAAUACUACAGUUUCAGAAGUUCAGUUUACUAAAUUCUAAUACUAUAAUAUUCUUUCAUCAUUAUGAUGUCAAAUGAACAUUUUUGACAAAUCGGCAUAAUAAAUGAAAAUGUAUUCCUGUAAUUUCAGCUUGUAUAUAAGUAUCAACUGUUAUACGAAUGUACUUCACAAAAUAAAUGUUUUGAUG
rnacentral:sRNA from 1 species